rnacentral:rRNA from 1 species
UUGCCACUUUGUGGUUCAUGACUGGGGUGAAGUCGUAACAAGGUAGCGCUAGGGGAACCUGGCGCUGGAUCACCUCCUUACACGAUGAU